GCUGGGAUUACAGGUGUGCACCACCACACCUGGCUAAUUUUUGUAUUUUGAGUAGAGAUGGAGUUUCACCGUAUUUUCCAGGCUGGUCUCGAUCUCUUGACCUCAAAUGAUCCACCCGCCUCGGCCUCCCAAAGUGCUCAUAUCACAAGCAUGAGCUACCACACAAAGCUCUGGUGGUUAUUUUUAAGUAGCGAUGAGAGUGUUAAGAAAUGACUAUCUAUUCACCGGGUGAAAGAGAACUGUAGAACCAUGAUGUUCCUCUGUGUGCCAUGCUAGAUGCCCUUUCAAGAAGACAGAGGAAAGAACACUGAGAACUUCCAGCCUUCCCUUGGGCUUUCUCUGAGGUUCUGGCAUUUUUGGGAGCAGAGCUGGGACCUGGCAGCUGUCUGACCAGGCUGACUUCAGCCAGGCCAGUACACAGUCUCCGGGUGAGAUGACAGACCGUGUUGUGGAUACAAUAUGCUGAGGCAGCUCUUUGACAAAGGUGCUUUCUGAGCACAAACUGACUCCAAGCUGUCUGCCUAAGCCUCCCCCAAAAGAAGGCGUCUGUAACAGAAGAGGCAUAAGGUUCCAGGAGCCUCCAGGGCUGCCUCACACCAGCCCAUGCUCUAUGGGUCUCUGUCUCUGGGCCAGGGGUCCAGAGAGACCAGGCUCCAUUGGAUGCCACUGAACCAGGUGUUGUGAAUGCAGAUUUCUCUGCUAUGAUGGAGAAUUGGCAAUGGUCAAGGUGUUCCCUGGAGUUGCUGUGCCUUGAGGAAUGGCUGCCAUCCUCAAGAGAGGCCCAGAGUUGUUGCCGAGGCAAAGCAUCAGCAUGGUAGCUGGCAUUUUUUGUGCACCUGCUGUGCGCCAGGCACUUUCUUUUCUUCACUUAAUCCUCUCAAAGCUGCCAAGUUGGGGAUAUUCAUAACCCAUUUUUCAGGUGAGGAAAUUAAGGUCCAAAGAUCACACAGCCUGGAAAUUUAGACCCCGAUUUGCCUAUAUUCCAAACUUCAACGUUUCUUCAACUUUACGUCAGGGAAGGGUGAGGCCCUUGUCACAGCUUCCUGCUGUUGCCCCCAAAUUGAACUAAUGUGGCAAAAUGGUGUCGGGUAGAUUGGGAUUGCAAUGGCAUUAGAAUCAUAGCUCUGGUCUCUCAUGAGUCAACAUUAACCAAGCCUCAGCUUUGCACCAGCCUUGAUGGUCAGUACUGUGAAUGUAACCACAAGGAGAAAAGAAAACCCUCCCAGAAGUCAGUCAGUGGUAGCAAAUCCGGGUGGGAGGAACCCUGAACUGGCUGCCCAGCAAGGCAGGCUGUGGUUAGUGAAGACAAGUCAUAAGGGCCAAGAUCCUGUCCUGAACACUGAAGGGCCCAAGGGCGAGGGGGCCUAAUUAUUGAGGAAUUGAGAGACGUGUUACAAAAGAAGUGAGACUUAAAAUGAGACUUACGAAAAGAUAAAGAAUUAUCUUAGUAGCCAGAGAUGGAAAAUAGGUUAAAGAAGGGAGAACAGGUGGCUUCCACCUGUAAUUGUGUCAUUUUGGAAGGCCGACAUGGGAGGACUGCUUGAGACCUGGAGUUCAAGACCAGCUGGGGCAUUAUAGCAAGACCCCAUCUCUACAGAACAAACAAUUAAGCUGGAUGUGGUGGUGCACACCAGUAGUCCAGCUGCUGGGAAGGCUGGACCAUUGCUUGAGCCCAGGAGUUCGAGGCUUCGGUGAGCCAUGAUUGCUCAACUGCACUCCAAUCUGGGUGACACAGCAAGACCCUGUUUGAAAAAAGAAAAAAAAAAAAAA
rnacentral:lncRNA from 1 species